GCGCGAUAGCUGAGUCGGUAUAGAGCAGUGGUCUCGUAAUCCAUUGACCCGGGUUCGAAACCAAGUCGAUGCG
rnacentral:tRNA from 1 species